GUCGAGAAUCUUCCCCAAUGGGCGAAAGCCUGAGGGAGCGACGCCGCGUGAGGGAUGAAGGCCCUUUGGGUUGUAAACCUCUGUUAGGGGGAAAGAAAAGCAGUGGAAGCAAUAUGUCCAUUGCCUGACGUUACCCCCAGAGAAAGCUCCGGCCAACUCCGUGCCAGCAGCCGCGGUAAUACGGGGGAGCAAGCGUUGUCCGGAAUCAUUGGGCGUAAAGGGCGGGUAGGCGGCUUGGCAAGUCGAAUGUGAAAUCCCACGGCUCAACCGUGGAACUGCGUUCGAAACUGCCUUGCUUGAGUGCGGGAGAGGUGUGCGGAAUUCCUGGUGUAGCGGUGGAAUGCGUAGAUAUCAGGAAGAACACCGGUGGCGAAGGCGGCACACUGGCCCAGCACUGACGCUGAGGCGCGAAAGCGUGGGGAGCGAACGGGAUUAGAUACCCUAGUAGUCC
rnacentral:rRNA from 1 species